UUAAUCUCCGAAGAAAAAUUUAAAAAACUCGGAGACCGCUAGUAGGUGCAAUAGAAAGUUCGGUGUUUCGAACACCUAUUCGGGUAAUAAUCUCUCACCUUAUUCUCUGUUAUGGAAUUAAAGCUUAAUAAUCGAUAAUAUUGUAUUUUGUGUAAUUUAGAAAACUUUGAGAAUAAUUACAGGUUACUAAUGGAGCUGGAACCGGUUAGUUCUUUAAUUGUCAUGUUUAAUUGAUUAUUGAAUUUACAGCUUUAAAUAUAUGAUGAUAUACCAGAAUAG
rnacentral:lncRNA from 1 species